ACUCAAAGGAAUUGACGGGGGCCCGCACAAGCGGCGGAGCGCGUUGCUUAAUUCGACGCGAAGCGUAGAACCUUACCCAGGCUUGACAUGCGGGAAGUAGGUGCGUGAAAGCGUAUCCCAACCGUAAAGUCGGUAACCCGUGCAGGUGUUGCAUGGCUGUCGUCAGCUCGUGCCGUGAGGUGUUGGCUUAAGUGCCGCAACGAGCGCAACCCCCAUCGUAUGUUGCCAGCGGGUAAUGCCGGGCACUCAUGCGAGACUGCCGGGGAAACCCCGGAGGAAGGAGGGGAUGACGUCAAGUCAGCAUGGCCCUUACGCCUGGGGCUGCAAACGCGCUACAAUGCGCGGUACAACGGGCUGCGAAACCGCAAGGUGGAGCGAAUCCCAAAAAACCGCGCCCAGUUCGGAUCGGGGUCUGCAACUCGACCCCGUGAAGUUGGAGUCGCUAGUAAUGGCAGAUCAGCACGCUGCCGUGAAUGCGUUCUCGGGCCUUGUACACACCGCCCGU
rnacentral:rRNA from 1 species